rnacentral:misc_RNA from 1 species
CAUGUUAUUUGCAAAUGAUAUUAUCUUAGCAAAUGAAACUAGUAAAAGAGUUAAUCAAAAGUUUCAAGUUAUGAAGGACUCUUGAGAGCAAGGGUUUUAAGCUAAAGUAAAAAUAAGUCGAGAUAUAUGUGAGUUUAGCUCUCAUAGAAGGAAUGAAGAUGAGGUUCGUUUGGAUGGAGUUUUAGUACCUAAAGGCAAUCAAUUCAAGUAUUUGAUUCUAUCAUACAAACAAACAGAACCUUGGAUGAGGAUGUAACUCGUAGGAUUAAUACAAGGAGAAUGAAAUGGAGAAGUACAAUGAAUGUGAUAUGCGACCGUAAGAUUCGUAACAAAGUGAAAGGUAAGUUCUAAAGUCCUAUAAGACUAUGGUUAGACCAGAUAUGUUGUAUAAGAGUGAUUAUUGAGUAUAUAAGAUACAAUAUAACCACAAAAUGAGUAUAGCAGGUUAAGAUGGAUGUAUGACAGUGUUAUUAAAGGCACAGCAAGACGACAAGGCGAGGUGCCAGGCGAGGCAAGGCGACGUGACCCUCUACGCCUGGUCUAGCACUGCCUGGAUUGGCAUUGAGUAGGCGAGCGCCCCAGCGACACAGGCGAGAGGCUCUAAGGUGACGCCUCUGUGAAGAAACGGCAAUUUUUUUUUUCUUUUCCUUUUUAAUUGUUUCUAACCCUACAUAAAAUUGAAACCCUACUAGCCUACCUCACAAGAAACACUCACAGACCUCAUGCAAAAGAGAAACACUCACAGCAGCUCCUUUCUCUCAACAAUCGGGUCUCUCUCUCUCUCCUCCUCUAAUCUAUUCUUGUCUCAACACAGAAGUAUCAUUUUGCACAUUUUUUUUCUUUUUACUUUUUUUUCUUCUUUUUCUCUCCUUCUCUC